CUGCAGCCCGGCCUGAGUGGAGCUCUUUUCUUUUAAAUUUUACAAAAAUUUAAAAGAAAAAGCGGGAACGGAGGACGGAAAAGCU
rnacentral:misc_RNA from 1 species